rnacentral:rRNA from 1 species
GGGUUGUGAGGUUAAGCGACUAAGCGUACACGGUGGAUGCCCUGGCAGUCAGAGGCGAUGAAGGACGUGCUAAUCUGCGAAAAGCGUCGGUAAGGUGAUAUGAACCGUUAUAACCGGCGAUGUCCGAAUGGGGAAACCCAGUGCAAUUCGUUGCACUAUCGUUAACUGAAUACAUAGGUUAACGAGGCGAACCGGGGGAACUGAAACAUCUAAGUACCCCGAGGAAAAGAAAUCAACCGAGAUUCCCCAGUAGCGGCGAGCGAACGGGGAGCAGCCCAGAGUCUGAAUCAGCUUGUGUGUUAGUGGAACGGUCUGGAAAGUCCGACGGUACAGGGUGAUAGUCCCGUACACCAAAAUGCACAGGCUGUGAACUCGAAGAGUAGGGCGGGACACGUGGUAUCCUGUCUGAAUAUGGGGGGACCAUCCUCCAAGGCUAAAUACUCCUGACUGACCGAUAGUGAACCAGUACCGUGAGGGAAAGGCGAAAAGAACCCCGGCGAGGGAGUGAAAAAGAACCUGAAACCGUGUACGUACAAGCAGUGGGAGCACCUUCGGGUGUGACUGCGUACCUUUUGUAUAAUGGGUCAGCGACUUAUAUUCUGUAGCAAGGUUAACCGUAUAGGGGAGCCGCAGGGAAACCGAGUCUUAACUGGGCGUUAAGUUGCAGGGUAUAGACCCGAAACCCGGUGAUCUAGCCAUGGGCAGGUUGAAGGUUGGGUAACACUAACUGGAGGACCGAACCGACUAAUGUUGAAAAAUUAGCGGAUGACUUGUGGCUGGGGGUGAAAGGCCAAUCAAACCGGGAGAUAGCUGGUUCUCCCCGAAAGCUAUUUAGGUAGCGCCUCGUGAAUUCAUCUUCGGGGUAGAGCACUGUUUCGGCUAGGGGGUCAUCCCGACUUACCAACCCGAUGCAAACUACGAAUACCGAAGAAUGUUAUCACGGGAGACACACGGCGGGUGCUAACGUCCGUCGUGAAGAGGGAAACAACCCAGACCGCCAGCUAAGGUCCCAAAGUCAUGGUUAAGUGGGAAACGAUGUGGGAAGGCACAGACAGCCAGGAUGUUGGCUUAGAAGCAGCCAUCAUUUAAAGAAAGCGUAAUAGCUCACUGGUCGAGUCGGCCUGCGCGGAAGAUGUAACGGGGCUAAACCAUGCACCGAAGCUGCGGCAGCGACACUAUGUGUUGUUGGGUAGGGGAGCGUUCUGUAAGCCUGCGAAGGUGUGCUGUGAGGCAUGCUGGAGGUAUCAGAAGUGCGAAUGCUGACAUAAGUAACGAUAAAGCGGGUGAAAAGCCCGCUCGCCGGAAGACCAAGGGUUCCUGUCCAACGUUAAUCGGGGCAGGGUGAGUCGACCCCUAAGGCGAGGCCGAAAGGCGUAGUCGAUGGGAAACAGGUUAAUAUUCCUGUACUUGGUGUUACUGCGAAGGGGGACGGAGAAGGCUAUGUUAGCCGGGCGACGGUUGUCCCGGUUUAAGCAUGUAGGCUGGUUGUCCAGGCAAAUCCGGAUAAUCAAGGCUGAGGUGUGAUGACGAGGCACUACGGUGCUGAAGUAACAAAUGCCCUGCUUCCAGGAAAAGCCUCUAAGCAUCAGGUAACAUUAAAUCGUACCCCAAACCGACACAGGUGGUCAGGUAGAGAAUACCAAGGCGCUUGAGAGAACUCGGGUGAAGGAACUAGGCAAAAUGGUGCCGUAACUUCGGGAGAAGGCACGCUGGUGUGUAGGUGAAGUCCCUGCGGAUGGAGCUGAGACCAGUCGAAGAUACCAGCUGGCUGCAACUGUUUAUUAAAAACACAGCACUGUGCAAACACGAAAGUGGACGUAUACGGUGUGACGCCUGCCCGGUGCCGGAAGGUUAAUUGAUGGGGUUAUCCGUAAGGAGAAGCUCUUGAUCGAAGCCCCGGUAAACGGCGGCCGUAACUAUAACGGUCCUAAGGUAGCGAAAUUCCUUGUCGGGUAAGUUCCGACCUGCACGAAUGGCGUAAUGAUGGCCAGGCUGUCUCCACCCGAGACUCAGUGAAAUUGAACUCGCUGUGAAGAUGCAGUGUACCCGCGGCAAGACGGAAAGACCCCGUGAACCUUUACUAUAGCUUGACACUGAACAUUGAGCCUUGAUGUGUAGGAUAGGUGGGAGGCUUUGAAGCGUGGACGCCAGUCUGCGUGGAGCCAACCUUGAAAUACCACCCUUUAAUGUUUGAUGUUCUAACGUUGGCCCCUUACCGGGGUUGCGGACAGUGUCUGGUGGGUAGUUUGACUGGGGCGGUCUCCUCCCAAAGCGUAACGGAGGAGCACGAAGGUUAGCUAAUCCUGGUCGGACAUCAGGAGGUUAGUGCAAUGGCAUAAGCUAGCUUGACUGCGAGCGUGACGGCGCGAGCAGGUGCGAAAGCAGGUCAUAGUGAUCCGGUGGUUCUGAAUGGAAGGGCCAUCGCUCAACGGAUAAAAGGUACUCCGGGGAUAACAGGCUGAUACCGCCCAAGAGUUCAUAUCGACGGCGGUGUUUGGCACCUCGAUGUCGGCUCAUCACAUCCUGGGGCUGAAGUAGGUCCCAAGGGUAUGGCUGUUCGCCAUUUAAAGUGGUACGCGAGCUGGGUUUAGAACGUCGUGAGACAGUUCGGUCCCUAUCUGCCGUGGGCGCUGGAGAAUUGAGGGGGCUGCUCCUAGUACGAGAGGACCGGAGUGGACGCAUCACUGGUGUUCGGGUUGUCAUGCCAAUGGCACUGCCCGGUAGCUAAAUGCGGAAGAGAUAAGUGCUGAAAGCAUCUAAGCACGAAACUUGCCCCGAGAUGAGUUCUCCCUGAGACUUUAAGUCUCCUGAAGGAACGUUAAAGACGAUGACGUUGAUAGGCCGGGUGUGUAAGCGCAGCGAUGCGUUGAGCUAACCGGUACUAAUGAACCGUGAGGCUUAACCUUACAACGCCGAAG